rnacentral:rRNA from 1 species
AUACGUAGGUGGCGAGCGUUAUCCGGAUUUACUGGGUGUAAAGGGCGCGUAGGCGGGGAAGCAAGUCAGAUGUGAAAUCCAUGGGCUCAACUCAUGAACUGCAUUUGAAACUGUUUCUCUUGAGUGCCGGAGAGGUAGACGGAAUUCCUAGUGUAGCGGUGAAAUGCGUAGAUAUUAGGAGGAACACCAGUGGCGAAGGCGGUCUACUGGACGGUAACUGACGCUGAGGCGCGAAAGCGUGGGGAGCAAACAGGAUUAGAUACCCUGGUAGUCCACGCUGUAAACGAUGAAUACUAGGUGUGGGGGGACUGACCCCCUCCGUGCCGCAGUUAACACAAUAAGUAUUCCACCUGGGGAGUACGACCGCAAGGUUGAAACUCAAAGGAAUUGACGGGG